rnacentral:rRNA from 1 species
GUGGGGAAUUUUGGACAAUGGGCGCAAGCCUGAUCCAGCAAUGCCGCGUGCAGGAAGAAGGCCUUCGGGUUGUAAACUGCUUUUGUACGGAACGAAACGGUCCGGGUUAAUACCCUGGGCUAAUGACGGUACCGUAAGAAUAAGCACCGGCUAACUACGUGCCAGCAGCCGCGGUAAUACGUAGGGUGCAAGCGUUAAUCGGAAUUACUGGGCGUAAAGCGUGCGCAGGCGGUUUUGUAAGACAGGCGUGAAAUCCCCGGGCUCAACCUGGGAAUUGCGGUUGUGACUGCAAGGCUGGAGUGCGGCAGAGGGAGGUGGAAUUCCGCGUGUAGCAGUGAAAUGCGUAGAUAUGCGGAGGAACACCGAUGGCGAAGGCAGCCUCCUGGGAUAACACUGACGCUCAUGCACGAAAGCGUGGGGAGCAAACAGGAUUAGAUACCCGAGUAGUCC